UCUAAGGAUGAUCUUAGUUGAAAGUUUACUUUCACGUAGAUCACUUUUUAGCAGCUCUUAAAUGAGCUUUAGUAGUCUUCGGACUACAUUAUAGACCGAACCGUCCUCAUAUCUCUUCAGUAAUAAUAAUUUUGCAGGUCAUCGAUCUGUUAAGGGUCGGUAGCUCAGGUUGGUUAGAGCGCACGCCUGAUAAGCGUGAGGUCGGAGGUUCAAGUCCUCCUCGACCCACCAAAAAAUGGGGCGUUAGCUCAGCUGGGAGAGCACCUGCUUUGCAAGCAGGGGGUCAUCGGUUCGAUCCCGAUACGCUCCACCAUUUCCUUCAGAUUAUUAUAUCAAUUCCGAUUAGAUCAUUAAGAGCUGUACGCAGUUUUUAAUCAUCCAAUCGGAUGGCGAACCUUCGGGGUUCACUUUUACAUCGUUUAGAGAGCAUAUAAAACACGAGACGUAAGUUUCUUGUUUGAACCACUUCUUCGGGAGAGGUUAAUGAUUGAAUAUCUUAGGGCUGAAGAGCUUUGGGAGGCUAAAUUGUUAGCUGGUUCGCAGUAUCAUAGGUAACUAUGAAGCAUAAUCAGACUAGGGUGACCAACCCACUGUGCAUGUGCUGUUGGUGAGCGUUCCAGUGCGGUUCGCAAGCUAAUUCAAAGAUAAUUUACAGUCUUUCCAAGUCAAAUACACUAACCAAAGUCACAGUGAAUUAGAUCUACUGUGACAUGAAGGGAUGCUCGAAAGAGCAUUCAUUCGCUGGAAUGUGCGUGACCUUCCUGCCAAGGGAGGGUUACAUUUGAGUUCAAAAAUAAAUGUUGUUUUUGCAAUAGCAAAACAAAUGACGUGCCUAUCGCAAGAUAGGUGCUGAUGAACAAUUUUCUCAAAAAAAAUGACGACUUCUGUUCUAGAAAUAGUCUGACUAUUUCUG
rnacentral:tRNA from 1 species